rnacentral:rRNA from 1 species
AGUGAACGCUGGCGGUAGGCCUAACACGUGCAAGUCGAACGGCAGCACAGAGGAGCUUGCUCCUCGGGUGGCGAGUGGCGGACGGGUGAGGAAUACAUCGGAAUCUACUCUGUCGUGGGGGAUAACGUAGGGAAACUUACGCUAAUACCGCAUACGACCUACGGGUGAAAGCAGGGGACCUUCGGGCCUUGCGCGAUUGAAUGAGCCGAUGUCGGAUUAGCUAGUUGGCGGGGUAAAGGCCCACCAAGGCGACGAUCCGUAGCUGGUCUGAGAGGAUGAUCAGGCACACUGGAACUGAGCAACGGCCCAGACUCCUACGGGGGGCAGCAGUGGGGAAUAUUGGACAAUGGGCGCAAGCCGGAUCCAGCCAUACCGCGUGUGUGAAGAAGGCCUUCGGGUUGUAAAGCCCUUUUGUUGGGAAAGAAAUCCAGCUGGCUAAUACCCGGUUGGGAUGACGGUACCCAAAGAAUAAGCACCGGCUAACUUCGUGCCAGCCGCCGCUGUAA